GGGUCAAGAGUGAGAUGUUAUCUUGAAGGGAAGUGGUGACACAAAAAUCAAGCUCAGUUGGAUUAUGUUUAGGCCU
ensembl:snoRNA SNORD115 Small nucleolar RNA SNORD115